rnacentral:tRNA from 1 species
GGAGAGUAUAGCUCAGUGGUAGAGCAUAUGCUUAGCAUGCAUAAGGUCCUGGGUUCAAUCCCCAGUACCUCCA